ACAAAAAAAAAACUCCUCCGGCAGUUUCAGUGGACUUCGGUGUUCCUGCCCAAGCGCUCCUGCCCAUCCUGUAGCCAGCACAGUUUGUGGCUACCCACUAUGGAGCUACGUUAUUACUCCUUAUUUUGGCCUGGUCGCCCAGGCUAUGACCUAUGACUCAGGUGGCCAAACACUCACAAAUUCUAGGCUGUCCUUCCUAUUCGGUUUUACAUAACUCUGAGAUCAAAGCUUGGCUAUUUCCUCACGAGACAGCACCGGACACACGAUGGGGCCAGGAAUCAGGGUUGCGGCGGUACCAGAACAGACUCACUCAGUUUAGGCUUCUACGGCACGUAUCCUCCGUCGUCUAUGGCGGCGGUACGGCAGAAUCCGCUGGUCGGUGGGAUAGCCCUGAAGACGCGGCUGUACGGGCUGCCGCUGACGAAGAUGCGACGAUGAGACGAUGAUGGCGAUGCGGGCGGUCAAUUCAGCCUCAACAUGCGUCGAAACGUGGUCGGCGGGACGAUUGGGCAUGUGCUGGUGGCUACCAAUUGCCCAAUAUCCAAAAUGUAGCAUAAGUCCAAAAUAAACAGACCCAGCGGCCGCUCGUCUGCUGCUGGGUCUAUGAUUAUCUAUUUUCAGGUUAUAGGUAUAUUCAAAAUUCUUUCAGGUCUGUGUCCGUGCUCCGUCCUUGCUCUUCUCAUUCACCAGCAACAAUGCCGCCACCAUCUCGCGUACCGCGUGGCUCUUUCAAAACCCUUUUGCAUCCGUUUAUUCCCAUCCUUCUCCUGCCGCCAUCUCCUACUCCCAUUUCCAGCAACCAUGGCCUGCUGCCGCAACAGCUGGCACUGUCACUUCCCGGUACCGCAA